GUUCGUUAUUGAGGGCGCAUGGUGGAUGCCUUGGCAUGCUGAGCCGAUGAAGGACGUGUAAGGCUGCGUUAAGCCUCGGGGAGUUGUCAAUAAAGCGUUGAUCCGAGGAUGUCCGAAUGGGGAAACCUGGCCCUGGUUAUGUGGGGUUACCCUUCAGUGAAUUCAUAGCUGUUGUGGGGGUUACGCGGGGAAGUGAAACAUCUCAGUACCCGUAGGAGGAGAAAAUAAUAAUGAUUCUGCUAGUAGUGGCGAACGAACGUGGAUGAGGCUAAACCGUGUGCAUGUGAUACCUGGUAGGGGUUGUGUGUGCGGUGUUGUGGGGCCUAGCUUUGUGUCAUCUACCAGUGGCACGCCCUUUUUCGCAUUGUUGUUAGGUGAAGUGGUUUGGAAUGGCCUGCCGGAGUAGGUGAGAGUCCUGUAGCUGAAGAUGAUGAUGUGGGGGUUGUUGGGUUCCCGAGUAGCAACGGGCUCGUGGAAUCUGUUGUGAAUCUGCCGGGACCACCCGGUAAGCCUAAAUACUCAGUGUGACCGAUAGUGGAUAGUACCGUGAGGGAAUGGUGAAAAGUACCCCGGGAGGGGAGUGAAAUAGUUCCUGAAACCAUGUGCUUACAAUCCGUCAGAGCACCUUGUUUGUGUGUGAUGGCGUGCCUUUUGAAGAAUGAGCCUGCGAGUCAGCGGCAUGUCGCGAGGUUAACCCGUGUGGGGUAGCCGUAGGGAAACCGAAUCCUAAUGGGGUGUUUUAGUGGCAUGUCCUGGACCCGAAGCGGGGUGAUCUACCCAUGGCCAGUGUGAAGCAGCUGUAAGAGGUUGUGGAGGCGCGAACCCACGUAGGUUGAAAACUGCGGGGAUGAGCUGUGGGUAGGGGUGAAAGGCCAAUCAAACUCCGUGAUAGCUGGUUCUCCCCGAAAUGCAUUUAGGUGCAGCGUCGUAUUAGCUUGGUGGAGGUAGAGCGACUGGUUGGUUGAGCGGGACUACAAUCUUAGCAAUGUCAGCCAAACUCCGAAUGCCAUCAAUUGUGUUGUGCGGCAGUGAGACUGUGGGGGAUAAGCUUCAUAGUCGAGAGGGAAACAGCCCAGAUCGCCGGUUAAGGCCCCUAAGGGUGUACUAAGUGGAAAAGGAUGUGGGAUCGCGAAGACAGCCAGGAGGUUGGCUUAGAAGCAGCCAUCCUUGAAAGAGUGCGUAAUAGCUCACUGGUCGAGUGGUUCUGCGCCGACAAUGUAGUGGGGCUCAAGUACACCGCCGAAGCCGCGGCAAGCAACUUACGUUGUUUGGGUAGGGGAGCGUCGUGCAUGGGUGGAAGCGUUACCGUGAGGAGGCGUGGACUGUGUGCGAGUGAGAAUGCAGGCAUGAGUAACGAAUUGUAAGGUGAGAAUCCUUACCGCCGGAUGACUAAGGGUUCCUGGGUCAAGUUCGUCUUCCCAGGGUGAGUCGGGACCUAAGGCGAGGCCGACAGGCGUAGUCGAUGGAUAACCAGUUGAUAUUCUGGUACCCGUACAUGUGCGCCCAUGAUAAAGCACUGAUACUAACCACUGCGGAUACGCUACUAAGCAUUCUUUGAGUGUUGGUGGUGUUGAUGUCGUGGGGCCUGAUGUGUGGUUCAAGUGAUGGGGUGACGCAGUGAGGUAGCCGCGCCACUUAGUGGAUUGGUGGUGUAAGCGUGUAGGCCGUGUGGUAGGUAAAUCCGCUACACAUGUGGUUGAGGCGUGAUGCGUAGACCCAGUGGGGUUGAUGGUGGUGAUCCUGUACUGUCGAGAAAAGCCUCUAGCGAGUGUGUGUAUGGCCCGUACCCUAAACCGACACAGGUGGUCAGGUUGAAGAUACUAAGGCGUUCGGGUGAACUGUGGUUAAGGAAUUCGGCAAAAUGCCCCCGUAACUUCGGGAGAAGGGGGGCCCUGUGAUGUGAAGACCCUUGCGGUUGGAGUGUUGUGGGGUCGCAGAGAAUAGAGGGAAGCGACUGUUUAUCAAAAACACAGGUCCAUGCGAAGACGUUAAGUUGAUGUAUAUGGACUGACGCCUGCCCGGUGCUGGAAGGUUAAGAGGACCGGUUAGUAACUUUUUUGGUUGCGAAGCUGAGAAUUUAAGCCCCAGUAAACGGCGGUGGUAACUAUAACCAUCCUAAGGUAGCGAAAUUCCUUGUCGGGUAAGUUCCGACCUGCACGAAUGGCGUA
rnacentral:rRNA from 1 species